UACAGAGGUCCCAAGCGUUGUUCGGAUUCACUGGGCGUAAAGGGUGCGUAGGUGGUCGGGUAAGUCUGAUGUGAAAUCUCCGAGCUUAACUCGGAAAUGGCAUUGGAUACUAUUCGGCUAGAGGGUUUGAGGGGGGACUGGAAUACUUGGUGUAGCAGUGAAAUGCGUAGAUAUCAGGAAGAACAUCGGUGGCGAAGGCGCUCUGCUGGACCAUAACUGACACUCAGGGACGAAAGCUAGGGGAGCGAAUGGG
rnacentral:rRNA from 1 species